rnacentral:tmRNA from 1 species
GGGGGCGAUCUGGUUUCGACGGGUGGAUGAAGCUGGGCGCUGCGUGUCGACUUUGGCUUUCGUCGUAAAAGAAAAUCCAAAUGUUGGUAGCAUUUUUAUCUGCCGACGAUAACUACGCUCUCGCUGCCUAGCUGAAACUAGGCUAGCGGGCUCUCGUCCGUGACGUCUCCUAGCGGGUCGCGAGAGUCAUCAGGAGACUGGCUUCCGAGCGCUGCUAGAUCGUAUCCGGAAGCGAGAUUCAUAUGUAGCUAGGGAGUGCUUGCUCCGUCCUUGCGGCCGACACUCCCGAAAUUAAGCAAGGACUACACACGUAGACGCGUCCAUUGGACGCCAUGCGGACGCGGGUUCGAUUCCCGCCGCCUCCACCA